AACGAACGCUGGCGGCAUGCCUAACACAUGCAAGUCGAACGAGACCUUCGGGUCUAGUGGCGCACGGGUGCGUAACGCGUGGGAAUCUGCCCUCUGGUACGGAAUAACUCAGGGAAACUUGAGCUAAUACCGUAUAAUGACUUCGGUCCAAAGAUUUAUCGCCUGAGGAUGAGCCCGCGUAGGAUUAGCUUGUUGGUGAGGUAAAGGCUCACCAAGGCGACGAUCCUUAGCUGGUCUGAGAGGAUGAUCAGCCACACUGGGACUGAGACACGGCCCAGACUCCUACGGGAGGCAGCAGUGGGGAAUAUUGGACAAUGGGCGAAAGCCUGAUCCAGCAAUGCCGCGUGAGUGAUGAAGGCCUUAGGGUUGUAAAGCUCUUUUACCCGGGAUGAUAAUAACAUACCGGGAGAAUAAG
rnacentral:rRNA from 1 species